UACGUAGGGGGCGAGCGUUGUCCGGAGUUACUGGGCGUAAAGCGCACGCAGGCGGUCUGCUAAGUUUGGAGUGACAGUUGGUGGCUUAACUGCCAAAGUGCUUCGAAAACUGACAGACUUGAGGGCUUCAGAGGGACACGGAAUUCCGGGUGGAGUGGUGAAAUGCGUAGAGAUCCGGAGGAACACCAAAGGCGAAGGCAGUGUCCUGGGGAGUACCUGACGCUGAGGCACGAAAGCCAGGGGAGCAAACGGG
rnacentral:rRNA from 1 species